GGAGCUUGGUGCGGAGGGCAGUGCUUCCUAUGAGAAAAAGUCCAGUGGUCAAUCUUUUGGGAAGGAGCUGGUGGGAUGAGGGGGCAGCUGGACUGACCUGAGUGCUGUUGUACUGUCUGACCAUCUCCUUUGUAAACAGACGCUCCACACUCAUGCUCAGAGCAGCAUUAUUCACAGCAGCCAGGAGGGGGACGUCGCCCAGGUGUUCCUCGGUGGAUGAAUGGAUAAAGAAAAUGUAAACACACAGUGGAAUCUUACUCAGCCUUGAAAAGGAAGGAAAGUCCAUCCAACACAUGCUACUGCAUGGACGAACUUUGGACAGUGAGCUAAGUGAAAGGAGACAGUCACAAAAGGACAAAUACCAGAUGAUCCCACCUGCGCGAGAUGAUGUUUGUCAUAUCUCCUGCAUGGAGGAAAAUUGCUUUCUGUAAAUCUUGGUCCAACAGAACAAAACACCUAUUUCUUUCCAGUUGGGAGGACAGCCAUUCUCAUCGGUAUAAUGAACGUAUUGUAAGCUGUGACUUUUACAAAGUCUGAGGGAAACCAAUCUGCAAUCUUGACAGAUACGAUCUUUCCAGAUGCACUGUUCGUUUACGGCGGCAAGAGAGCUCAAUUAAUUUCUGAGGGAGGACGGCAGGAUGCGACCCCUUGUGCGUGGCCUAGGAGGAACUGUCCCUGUGUGAAUUUAUGUUCUGGUAAUUUAAAAAGAUUUAUAUUAAGCUUUUCUUUCAUUUUGAGAGUAGAUUAAAA
rnacentral:lncRNA from 10 species